rnacentral:tRNA from 1 species
GGCUCGGUAGUUCAACGGAUAGAACAGCGCCCCGCUAAGGUGUAAAUAUCAGUUCAAAUCUGAUCCGGGCCA